rnacentral:rRNA from 1 species
CGGGGGGAGCAAGCGUUGUUCGGAUUUACUGGGCGUAAAGGGCGCGUAGGCGGCCACCGCAAGUCGACUGUGAAAUCUCCGGGCUUAACCCGGAAAGGUCAGCCGAUACUGCGGGGCUAGAGUGCAGAAGGGGCAACUGGAAUUCUCGGUGUAGCGGUGAAAUGCGUAGAUAUCGAGAGGAACACCUGCGGCGAAGGCGGGUUGCUGGGCUGACACUGACGCUGAUGCGCGAAAGCUAGGGGAGCGAACGGGAUUAGAUACCCCGGUAGUCCUAGCCUUAAACGAUGAAUGCUUGGUGUCUGGGGUUUUAUAGUCCCCGGGUGCCGUCGCUAACGCUUUAAGCAUCCCGCCUGGGGAGUACGGUCGCAAGACUG